GCGGCGCCAUCAGUGCCUGGGUGACGGUGAGGCGAGCUCGGGAAUCUGGCUCCGUCGCUCUCUCAGACGCGGCUCAGAUCUCGGGGCGGGAGUACGUCGGAAUCGCUGCUCCCUCGCGACCAACUUUGACUCUAUCACGCAGAUAAUCCUAACAUUAACGCGAGAGACACUGUUACCACAAUGAGAACUUGAAAUGUGCGAAAUCUAUGAACAACAUCCCCGCGGACACCCGAGGGAAAGGAGCGAGGAGCGCGCGCUUCGAGGUGUGGGAAGAAUGAAGACGGGAUCCCUGUCUCGCGCUGAAGGAGGCGCAGGAGAAAGGACAGAGAGAGGAGUAGGACAGGGUAAUCUUGAGACUCCGGAGGACGCCGGCUCUCACACCAGAAUCCUUCGUCGCUUCGCCUCCUGCCGGUUCUCUCCUAUGUCCUGUCUCGUGGUGCUCUCCGCUCUGCUCCACCUCGCCACGGCUUCAGAUGUGAUCAGAAUAGGUGGCUUGUUCGACCUGUCCGAUGAGCGUCAGGAGGUUGCCUUUCGCUACGCCGUCGACGCCAUCAACAGCGACCGGAAACUCCUGACGCAUGCGCGGCUUUCGGCACAGAUCGAGAAGAUUCCACCCAGCGAUUCCUUCAGAGGAUCAAGGAAAGUCUGCUCAUUGCUCAAGACUGGAGUGGCAGCAAUCUUUGGCCCUCAGUCUGGCCAGACGUCAGCCCACGUGCAGUCGAUUUGCGAUGCGCUGGAAGUCCCUCACAUCGAAAACAGAUGGGAUUUCAGGCUGACGAGGGACGAAUAUUCUGUCAAUCUUUACCCGCAUCCGUCGACGCUGGCGAAGGCCUAUAUGGAUGUGUUGAUGACUCUCGGCUGGCGGAAGUUCUGCAUCAUUUACGAGAACAAUAACGGACUCAUUCGUGUCCAGGAACUCCUGAAGGAUCACAGCUUCCAGAUCAGCCUGAGACAGCUUCCUACGUCGGGUGAUUACAGACCGAUGCUGAAGGACGCGAAGAAGGCCGGCGUGACACACAUCGUCCUCGACGUGGAGAGGGACAACAUCUUCACCGUCCUCAAGCAGGCGCAGCAGAUCGGGAUGAUGACGUCGUAUCAUAACUACUUCAUCACUUCUCUGGACCUGCACACCGUCGACCUGGAGGACUUCCGUCACGGCGACACCAACAUCACGGCGCUGACGAUCGUAGACCCGGAGAACCCGCUGGUGCAGCAGGUGAUCCAGGACUGGGUCUUCGGAGAGCUGCGUCACGGGAGGAACGUCGAGAACCCGGAGAACACGCUGAAGAACAGUAAUAUGACCCAACCCAAGUCGUCCCCCCCCCUGUCCAUCCCGCAGACGGAAGUGGCACUCAUGUACGAUGCCGUGCAACUCUUUGCGAAGGCGCUGGACGACCUCGACCGCUCGCGCCACAUCGACAUCACGCCCCUCGAGUGCGACGGCGACGCCACCUGGGUGCACGGCAACUCGCUCAUCAACUACAUGAAGUGGGUCCAGGUCAACGGACUGACGGGCCUCAUCAAGUUUGACAGCGAAGGAUUCAGACGCGACGUGACCCUUGACAUUGUGGAGAUGAGCAAGGAGGGUCUCAACAGGGUGGGCAAGUGGGAUCCAAAUAGUGGUGCCAACUAUACCCGGACGUACAGCGAGAUUCAACAAGGGAUCAUAGAGAGCCUUCAGAAUAAGACGCUCAUUAUAUCUACCAUUCUUGUGUCACCGUACACCAUGUUGAGAGAGACUUCCGAACAGCUGACGGGGAAUGACCGUUACGAGGGCUUCUGCGUUGACCUUAUCCACGAAAUCUCCGAGAUCAUUGGCUUCAACUACACGUUAAAGUUGGCAGACGAUGGCAACCACGGCAAAUUUGACCAGAAGCUCCAAAAGUGGAACGGAAUGAUUGGGGAGCUUCUCGAUCAGAAAGCUGACCUGGCGAUCGGCGAUUUGACAAUCACUUACGAAAGAGAGCACGCGGUCGACUUCACGAUGCCUUGGAUGAACCUGGGCAUAAGCAUCUUGUACCGGAAACCCACCAGGAAGCCACCGAACCUCUUCAGUUUCCUGUCUCCUCUGUCCCUGGACGUCUGGCUGUACAUGGCGACCGCUUAUCUUGGGGUGUCGCUGCUCCUGUUUGUGCUGGCGAGGUUAAGUCCCUAUGAAUGGAUCACAUCCUUUCCAUGCAGAGAAGAGGAAGAAAAGUCAAUGGAAAAUCAGUUCAGUCUCAACAAUUCGCUAUGGUUUACAAUGGGCAGCCUACUACAGCAAGGCACUGACCAGCAGCCCAAAGCGGUGUCCACUCGCAUCGUGGCCGGGAUCUGGUGGUUCUUCACCCUCAUCAUGAUCUCGUCGUACACUGCCAACCUCGCUGCCUUCCUGACGGUGGAGCGCAUGGAGUCUCCCAUCGAGUCUGCGGAGGACCUCGCCAAGCAGACCAAGAUUAAGUACGGCUCCUUGUACGGCGGCUCAACGUGGAACUUCUUCAGCUCCUCCGAAAUGCCAACUUACCAGCGGAUGUUCAGCUUCAUGGAAUCCCAGAACCCAAGCGUGUACACCAAAUCCAACGAGGAGGGAGUCAAGCGAGUCCUCAAGGGCGAUGGACUCUACGCAUACAUGAUGGAGUCCUCGAGUAUUGAGUACAUCACGGAAAGGUACUGCGACCUCACUCAAGUGGGAGGUCCUCUCGACUCUAAGAGCUAUGGUAUUGCACUCCCGCCAGGCUCGCCCUACACGAACACCAUCUCGGAGGCAAUCCUGAACUUGCAAGAGAGUGGAAAUCUCCAAAAGCUUAGGACGCGCUGGUGGAAGCAGAAAAAGGGAGGGGGGAAGUGUGAAGACGACGAGUCAAAGAGUUCAUCCAAGGCCAAUGAACUCGGACUGAACAACGUUGGCGGAGUAUUCGUCGUGCUGCUCGCCGGCAUGGGACUGGCGUCUGUCGUAGCGGUGUGUGAAUUUGUGUGGAAAUCAAGAAAGUUGGCAACCGAGGAACACAAAAUAAAAAUCUGUGAGACAGACACACAACAGUAAUGUUUGUGCCACAAUAGUGACCAGCAUGUAGCCUGCAGUACCUGUGUUCACCCUGCCGUUACUCCCUUUAGCUUCCGUUUGGACAGAGAUGAGUAAGGAACUCAAGUUCGCCCUCUCCUGCGACGCGUCCUCCAAGCCGGUAAGGAAGAAGACGCAGGAACAAGAGAACAACGGGCCCUCCUAUCUGUCCAUGAACACCUACGGCUCCACCU
rnacentral:misc_RNA from 1 species